UACUUAAUUCUGACAGACAAGAAAAUGUGGUUAGUGAUUUAUAAUUAAUGGGAAUUGAGACAGUGUCUUGUCAUCCCUGAGUUAGUAUUGGUAGAGUAAGGGAGAGCAGGCACAUGUUUCCUAAAUGGGAUCAGUUCUUUCAUUUAAUAUUUGCGUGCCUUUUUAUGUACCAGGAACUACCCGAGUUGCUGGAGAUGCUGUUUUGGACAAGAUAGAAAAGCGAGCCCCUGGUCCUCAUGGAGCCCACAUCCUUACAGAAUAUCAAAAUUAGACAGAGUCAGUCUGUGACCAUGAUGGAUCAAGGCAGGAACGAGCCCACCCACAACGAUGUCUGAAUAAAAAACAUGAACAUCGUCCAUACCACAAGAAAAGUCACGUCCUGGCUGAGAGGAAGAGUUAUGAUGGCAGAGAAGUAGGGGCACCAGGAUUUCCCUCAACCCACAACACGGCAGUAUUGAGGUCAACCCACAACACAGUCUGCAGAGUGACAGAAAAAUGUCCACAGGUGGAGGGAAACAGCUUGGAGGGACUGAGGUGCGUGUAUGCAAAUUGGGGGAGACCAAACAGUGUGGGCACGGAGGGGAGGGAACCCCUUCUGCCAGAGACAAAAGGGAGAGAAAGAGAAGCUGUGGAUUGCAGUAUUGUUCGUACAAGAGAAAAACCUCUCCCGACCCUGGACAGGGGGAUGAGAAAUACAGAGUGUGCCAGUUUCUACUUUGUGAACGGCCUUAGGAGCU